GCAUAAAGCCCUCCUUCUCGGUAAUUAACUCUUACUUAAUUGUCAAUCCACUAAAUAGUUUGUAACUGUACAUGUAGGUUGGUGUUCAAAGUAGUGUCCAUCUAGCAUUUUGCCUUUGGAUGGCUACUGCUUAACAGAUAGUAUUAAAAGCAUAAACAAAGUGUUUGGAAAAUUGAAUUCAAGAUUUUACAUACUUCAAUAAAGUGCUAUGGAAAUCGUUUAACCAUUGUGUCUAUAUAGGAUCCGUUUUAAUUUGCAUCAUCGCUGAAUAAUAAACUGCUUUUCUUGGAUGUACAGUAUGUAUGCUAUGUAAUUGGGCUGAUAGGGUGCUAACAAAUUAAUGCCCAACACUUUCCCCUUGUCAGGUAAAAUCGUCUGGCAUACAGAUGUAAAAUAUCAAAGCAAUCGUCUGGCAUACAGAAGUAAAAUAUCAAAGAAGAGUGUUAUACUGUAAGAUGCAUUGCAGUUUUAAUGGGGUUAAUUAGCUUUUUGCUCAUCAACUAGUCAAUAAGAAAGGCAUGUUGCAUACUGGUGUUAUAAGACGGCAGAUUGUGGGCAACUUUAGGCUGUGGAUAUUUACAGGAAAACAUAAUUAAUAAAAUUACAUCUCACAAUUCUAUUUAUUUAACACCAAAUACACAACUACUUAGGCCCCAUUUACACGAUACCGGAUUCGCAUUGGAGCAACAUCAACUAAGGCACUUUUUGGCCUCUUACAACUUUUCAUAUUUUACGUUUUUGAGUGCUAAAGUCCCCUUGAAAUUGUAAAAUUUGAUGUCACUCCAAAGCAAAUCCGGCAUCGUGUAACUGGGGUCUUAUUCUAGUGGUCCUAAUAUGCUCACACAAUGUGAUUGACAAUGAUUUAUCAAAUGAUGCAGGGAAUUUGUUGAGAGGGGCUUGUCGGGAGAUGUUACUAUAUUAUAGUGACAACAAGGGCUCUUACUGGACCAACAGGGAGAACAGAUUAGAACAUGAUAUAUCCUACAAGCAGAGCCUGAUGAAAGACUUUCCUUUAUUCUGAGGAAAUCAGGCUCUGCUCACAGGGUAAGAACUGAUCGAGCUAUCCAGUACAAGUUAAUUUAGUUUAGGUUUCCUCCUGUAGUAAAACACUGGACUAACAAAGGAUGGGAAUUCAUAUGGAUGACAGCUGUAGAAAAAAAAUAAUAUUAGCUUAUGUAAUGCGCGAAUCAAAUCGAAACCUUGACAUCCCCCCCCCCGGGCAUACCUGGGGAAUUUGCUUGUUUAGUAUUUUAAGAAGGCGGGAAUUUGACCUUUUUUUCUAGUGGAAGGUGGGGAAUUUGAAGGGGGUCGGGAAUUUGAAUUUUUCUUUUAAACACGUGUGCAGAAUCCAAAAUGGCGUCAAUAAUUAAUGGAUGAGUUCAAGGUCUUCAAGUGCAAAGGAAUUAACUUUGUCCUUGGUUGGCUACAAGAAAACGACUUUGAACGAUUGAAGAGAGUUUUAGAAGGAAAGAAAAACUUUGAAAUUCCAAAAUUGCGAAAUGCUGUAGCUUCCAAUUCGUACAUGGGGUGGGGUAUUUGAACUCCAAUUUUUCCCAAUACGUGGUGUAUUUGAACGGGAAUUACAAAUAUACGUAGGGAAUUUGACCUGAC